UUUCCGUAGGUGAACCUGCGGAGGGAUCAUUACACAACAAAAUAUGAAGGCCUGGCUUCGCGGCCGGCUGAAAUAUUUUUUUCACCCAUGUCUUUUGCGCACUUGUUGUUUCCUGGGCGGGUUCGCCCGCCACCAGGACCAAACCAUAAACCUUUUUUUUAUGCAGUUGCAAUCAGCGUCAGUAAAAACAAUGUAAUUAUUACAACUUUCAACAACGGAUCUCUUGGUUCUGGCAUCGAUGAAGAACGCAGCGAAAUGCGAUACGUAGUGUGAAUUGCAGAAUUCAGUGAAUCAUCGAAUCUUUGAACGCACAUUGCGCCCUUUGGUAUUCCAAAGGGCAUGCCUGUUCGAGCGUCAUUUGUACCUUCAAGCUUUGCUUGGUGUUGGGCGUUUUUUGUCUCCCUCUUUCUGGGAGACUCGCCUUAAAACGAUUGGCAGCCGGCCUACUGGUUUCGGAGCGCAGCACAUAUUUUGCGCUUUGUAUCAGGAGAAAAGGACGGUAAUCCAUCAAGACUCUACAUUUUUAACUUUUGACCUCGGAUCAGGUAGGGAUACCCGCUGAACUUAAGCAUAUCAAUAAGCGGAGGA
rnacentral:rRNA from 1 species